AGGAGGUUGGCUUAGAAGCAGCCACCCUUUAAAGAAAGCGGAAUAGCUCACUAGUCGAGUCGGCCUGCGCGGAAGAUUUAACGGGGCUAAACAUAGUACCGAAGCUGCGGAUGCCAAUUUAUUGGCAUGGUAGAGGAGCGUUCUGUAAGCCGUUGAAGGUGAACCGGGAGGUUUGCUGGAGGUAUCAGAAGUGCGAAUGCUGACAUGAGUAACGACAAGGGGGGUGAAAAACCUCCCCGCCGGAAGAUCAAGGUUUCCUGCGCAACGCUAAUCGGCGCAGGGUG
rnacentral:rRNA from 11 species